CUCUGGAGGGAGCUCGCACGCUCAACAAAUCUGGAUGUGCCUUGCUACCCAAAGAUUCUUCAGCUGAUGUUCCCAAGAGUGCACCAAGUUUAUGCCUUUGUUUUCACCUAGGGCUCCCAGGAUUUUGUGAAUGUACAACCAGGAGAGAUGAUGCCGGGAACUCGAUGACCUCUGAAAGCAAUGUUGAGGAUGAUCCACCUUUGGAGGAAGAUUGCUGUCUGCAAGUCAACAUGUCCUCUUUCGCUUGUUCUUCAGAGCAACAGCAAGAGGAAGAGGAGAGGAAACGUCAAUACGAAGAAAAGUGAAGAAGAAAGUGCAGGCUGGCCAUAAUGAACCUGAGGACAUUGACCCUGGUGUUGUUGCUAUGAUGGGUUUCCGAGGUUUCGGCAUGUCGAAGAAGUGAAUACUUCCAGGUGGUGUGUCUUUUCGUCGAAGAAGACAUGGUCGUCGGCUCGUUGCUAUAUGCUCCUGGUUCUCGUGAUUGUGCCAGCGAGACACAGCUGUCUGAUGCAAAGCUUAAUAUUGGAAUGAUGAAAUUCUGUAAUGAAUGGUGACCUUUGUGCUGUAAAUUGGUGAUCAUCUGAGUAACAUUUCAUCUUUGAGAAACAUGAUAACUAUGGGCUGCAUAUUU